rnacentral:RNase_P_RNA from 1 species
CAAGUUGGCCUGGCGAUCGCGUCGUUGGGGCGGAGCUUGUCUCCGCCCUCGCGCCGAGGAAAGUCCGCACUCCACAGAGCACGGCGCCGGAUAACAUCCGGGCGGGGCGACCCGUCGGAAGAGGGCCACAGAGAACGAAGUGCUGGCGGAUGGCAGAUGGCAGAUAGCGAAUGGCCGAUGGCCGACAGGUGGCCACUACCAGCCACGCGCGAUAAGCCAUCAGCCAUCAGCCAUCAGCCAUCAGCCAGCGAGGGUGAAAAGGUGGUGUAAGAGACCACCGGCGCGGGCAGUAAUGCACGCGGCCAGGCAUCCCCCGCCGGGAGCAAGGUCAAGCAGGGGCGAUCCCCUCACCCCAACCCCUCUCCCACAGGGAGAGGGGAGGAAGGGAGGGCCGGUGUUGCUCGCACCGUUAUCAGCCCCGGGUAGACCGCCGGAGGCGCCGGGCAACCGCGCGCCCGAGAGAGAUGAUCGCCGGGCGGCCGGAGGUGAGGACGAAGCCUCUGCGAGGCGUAAACUCACAGCCGGCCCUCGCACAGAAUGCGGCUUACAGGCUGACUUGGAUG